rfam:Ixodes scapularis strain Wikel colony gcontig_1108378813666, whole genome shotgun sequence.
CAAACGGCCCUCAUUAGGGCCAACCACAUAUGCAUUUGGUGUCUGG